rnacentral:rRNA from 1 species
UACGUAGGCAGCAAGCGUUGUUCGGAGUUACUGGGCGUAAAGCGUGCGCAGGCGGUGCUGUAAGACAGGUGUGAAAUCCCCGGGCUUAACCUGGGAACUGCAUUUGUGACUGCAUCGCUGGAGUGCGGCAGAGGGGGAUGGAAUUCCGCGUGUAGCAGUGAAAUGCGUAGAUAUGCGGAGGAACACCGAUGGCGAAGGCAAUCCCCUGGGCCUGCACUGACGCUCAUGCACGAAAGCGUGGGGAGCAAACAGG